GACCCAGUGGUGGGCGGUACCGCACCUGCAUCUCGUGCUAUGGCAUGGAAUAUACUGCGCAGGUUUCUGGUUCGAAUCCAGGCUGGGUCG